UGACCUAACGACGUUCUAUCUGC
rnacentral:siRNA from 1 species